GCCGUUAGAGGGCAGCAAGUGUCUGUCUUGGAGUUCAGGCAACAAGCGGCAUUUUUUUUUCCCUCUCCCCUCUCUCCUUUCAAUUACAGGGUGUCUCUAAGGGCAAAACACCAGGGCUCCAGCGUCAGCAGAAAUACAAGUUGGAAAGACCCAAGGUGGUGGAAAGAGAGGCGGCCUCCAAUCCCCAGAACAGCUCUUGGCAAAGUCGGGUGGUGGCUGUGAAGGUCUCACCCCUACUGUCCUGAGAACCCCUUGGGCCCAAGACCCAAGAGAUGCCCCCUCCCUUUGCUUUACCCCUGGGAGAGUCAGCGCCGCUGAGCGAGAGUGAGCAGGGAGCUUGGGCAUUUGGCCCUUUGUGUCACUUCGCUCCUCAGCCUCCUGGAACUGUAGGACAAAGGAGAGUCUGGGAGCUGCCAGCAGCCUGAGGGCACCACUGGGUUUGACAAGGAAGAAUGAAACCUGAUCCAGCGAACGGGACACUUCGUUGUGCUGGUCUGUGAGGUGACCCAGUUCUGAGACCAGCGGCUUGGCUCUGAGCACACUCUAUCUAUCACACUUCCCGCUCUCACUCCUAGGCCUCCGAGGUCUCAAAAGGAACCUGCCCCUCCCUCUUCUUAAGAGAGGUUCCUAGGAGGAUCGUGAGCUGAGAAUGGCAGCUGAGAAGAAUGCCUCGUUUCUUCAUAGGAGAAUGUGAUGGAGACGGGGGCGGUCCUCUUUCCACAUCAAUGCCUUUUGCGCAAUGGGCUGCUUACAACUUUAUGCCGCUAAAGGGAAAAGGAUCUCAGAUGCCCUCAUUUCACUGCAGAGGUUCGCUUUGUUCUCAAGCGAUGGCACAACGGCCCUUAAGCAACAAGGCCUGAAGAUGCAGAGGGCUUAACCCCAGCUGUUUAUCAUUCUUCCACAGGCAAGCACCAACAGAAUCGUCACAGUACCUGGGCAUUGAUGUCUCUUUCUGAGGCUGAUAGAACUCCCACCACAAGGAUCUUAUAUCAUACCAAGGAUGGAACCUGGGGCUUCACACAUGCCCGCUGCCACCCUACAAACCCGUCUUACCAGUUCCUGGGCAGCCAGCCAUCUUUUCUGAAUGCCUGAACCUCCAGCCCCCUUUCUGGGAGUGGCCUCCGGGGGAACAGCCUCGUUGGGUGCUGGAGUACCACCCUGCAGUCCUGGCCUGGGGAGACCGCACAGCACAAGGAAGCCAAAGCCUGGCCAGGGCUGCACAGAACCACCCUCAGCAGGAGAAAAGGGACGGAGCUGAAACAUCAAGAUUGGCAUAUGACAGGAGCCAGCUGAAGAGGGGCACUGAAAGUCCUUCCGGGCCUCGGCUUCUUCUAAUGGACAGAGCAUGUUUGCAAUAGGACAAGCGAGUGUG